UCGGUUGCUGAACAACAACAAAGCUCGCUUGUCACGGUGUUCAGCCUUACAUUGUUGAAACUGGAGUCGGACACCGAUGGAGAGACUCAGGAAGAAGUUACAACUUUUAGAAUGCAACUGGACGUUUCUGAACGAAGAAAGAAAGUCAUAUGGGUUUGGAAUGACAUGGUGGCGAUGAAGAUAUUGAGUGAAUGCAUCACGUUGCGAAAAAGCAAUUGUACCUGCACAUCCCAUUCACCCUCUUCCCAGCAUGCACUCUGGCAUGAAUAACCAGAAUAGCUGUAUUGUAUAAUUAUUUUGUUUACACUGUUGUUGUUGAUUUUGCGUUGUGAUGUCAGGAAGUUUGUUCAUCUACUUAAAAUGAUCUGUUAGUUAAUCUUGUUGUUUCAUGCAAAUUGUUGAUCGCUGUGUUGGCAAGAGUGUUUCCAUGAAUGGUUUAAGUCUCUCGUUACUCAUGUGAUGAGUAAUCAUGUGACAUUUUCAAGAAGCAGUUUUUACUUUACAUUUCUUGAGAUGAGAGAAACAUGAGAUGAACAAUUUAAAACAAUAUAAACAAAGGUAAUUUCAUUUAAUUAAGUUUUAGAUUUUGUUAUGAUGUAUUUGCAGUAUCUCUUUUUUUUUUUUUUUUUUAAGCAGCUCAUUUGAUUGAUAUGCUCAAUUUAAAACAGUUGCCAUUUUAAUUUAAUUUAAUUGUAUUUUAUUUUAUUUCUGGGUGAAAUUUUCAGCUCUGUUCCCAUUAUGGGUUACUUCUAUUACAUUUUGUACAUUUUGAAAAAUUAUUUUUGAUGUUUGUGAUUGCUAGAAAAUCACACAAAUUUAAAACUGUGUUUAGACAUGUUCUUAUUUUUAAUAAAUUGAGUAAUAAAUAAAUAAAAUGGCUCAUCUAAUACAAUCAAUAUUUUUUUAGGGUUAAGGCCAUCUUUUUACUGACCUUUUCUUCUUUUUAUGAUCUAUUUUGCACCUUAUUCUUGAAAAGUGCAUGCCAUGGUCUGUUGGGUUUUGCCUUUCGAAGUGAUCGAUACAUGUGUGCUGAUAUGAAACAUAUGUUGAUGUGAUGUUCCUGUUUGUAAUAUAUUUAAGUGUGUCUGCUGCUCACAUUUCAAAGUUAUGGAAAUGACAAGGUCAUGAGGCUGUUGAGAAUAAUCAAAAACUUUAAAAUUCUUUAUACCAAAGUUGGAAAUUUCAUCACCGUUUCCCAUCGGUACUGAAAGACAUUUCAAGGGUAUGAAUGAAUGUCGGAGAAAAGCUUUCCAAGCUACAACAGCAACAAAUAUCAGAGAACUGGCCAUGAACUGGCUUCAAAGACUAUCCCUCAAAGAGAUGCUGUGUUUGACAACACCAUGUCUGUUUUUUCAAAUCCAUCUUUUUGAUUGACAGUGUCAUCACUUUGAAACACAAGUAAGUCAUUACUGGAACAUGUCAUCUCACCCAGCAGCAUAUGUAUGCAUUUAUACGAACACAUUAUUUGCCCAACCCCCCGUACACUAAGUCCUUGUAUCUUCCUGAUGAACUGUUUUAUUCUCGUGAAUCUUGGGUAUUUUGAUGGACUCAGAAUAGGAGGAUUACUUUGAAGAGGUGUCAUGGAUCAAUAGGUUUUGGUCAACUCAUUCUUAAUGGUUGCGACCUAUUCCACAAAUCACUUUUCAAAUAAACCAAGGUGCCAAGUACAUCAAAACAGUUUCGAUUUGUAGUAAUUAAAUGUCUUUAUUAUAGGGAUUAGAUUAAUUAAUUAAAUAAAUGUCUUUAUGAUAGUCCACUUUAAACAUUCUACUAACUAUAAGUAACUACAAUAACUAACAAUAACUUUGCAAAUACAUUUCAACCAGUCAUUAGUAGACUAUAAUAACUGCUAACAUUUUAUUUUGAUGGUUCGCCAACAGACAUUAUACUGACUAUAAGCAAGUACAUAUCAAUUUAGUCUACUAACCCUAACCUAACAGUCUACUAAUACGCUAAUGAGAGUUAGUUGACUUGUAGUUUCAAAUUAAUGAGUGUUAGUUGACAUUUAGUUGCAAAGUUACCUAUAGUUGGUAGAAUGUCUAAAGUGAACUUUGGAAAUAGAGUGUAACCAGGAAUUCUUUAUAAUUGUCUAUUUUACAAACAGUUU